AUUUAAAUAAUUUAAUUUAAAAUAUUGAUUUGUGGUAUCAAAAAUAUGAAUAAAUUCAUUUUAAAUU
rnacentral:tRNA from 2 species